rnacentral:sRNA from 1 species
UCACGUCAUGAUGUCUUU